rnacentral:tRNA from 1 species
GCGCGUGUCGCCCAACUCGGCAGAGGCGGCGGUCUUAAAUCCCGCUCGGUGAGAGUUCGAAUCUCUCCACGCGCAUCA